rnacentral:rRNA from 1 species
GGGUUGUGAGGUUAAGCGACUAAGCGUACACGGUGGAUGCCCUGGCAGUCAGAGGCGAUGAAGGACGUGCUAAUCUGCGAUAAGCGUCGGUGAGGUGAUAUGAACCGUUAUAACCGGCGAUUUCCGAAUGGGGAAACCCAGUGUGUUUCGACACACUAUCAUUAACUGAAUCCAUAGGUUAAUGAGGCGAACCGGGGGAACUGAAACAUCUAAGUACCCCGAGGAAAAGAAAUCAACCGAGAUUCCCCCAGUAGCGGCGAGCGAACGGGGAGGAGCCCAGAGCCUGAAUCAGUGUGUGUGUUAGUGGAAGCGUCUGGAAAGGCGCGCGAUACAGGGUGACAGCCCCGUACACAAAAAUGCACAUAUUGUGAGCUCGAUGAGUAGGGCGGGACACGUGGUAUCCUGUCUGAAUAUGGGGGGACCAUCCUCCAAGGCUAAAUACUCCUGACUGACCGAUAGUGAACCAGUACCGUGAGGGAAAGGCGAAAAGAACCCCGGCGAGGGGAGUGAAAAAGAACCUGAAACCGUGUACGUACAAGCAGUGGGAGCCUCUUAAUGGGGUGACUGCGUACCUUUUGUAUAAUGGGUCAGCGACUUAUAUUCUGUAGCAAGGUUAACCGAAUAGGGGAGCCGAAGGGAAACCGAGUCUUAACUGGGCGUUAAGUUGCAGGGUAUAGACCCGAAACCCGGUGAUCUAGCCAUGGGCAGGUUGAAGGUUGGGUAACACUAACUGGAGGACCGAACCGACUAAUGUUGAAAAAUUAGCGGAUGACUUGUGGCUGGGGGUGAAAGGCCAAUCAAACCGGGAGAUAGCUGGUUCUCCCCGAAAGCUAUUUAGGUAGCGCCUCGUGAAUUCAUCUCCGGGGGUAGAGCACUGUUUCGGCAAGGGGGUCAUCCCGACUUACCAACCCGAUGCAAACUGCGAAUACCGGAGAAUGUUAUCACGGGAGACACACGGCGGGUGCUAACGUCCGUCGUGAAGAGGGAAACAACCCAGACCGCCAGCUAAGGUCCCAAAGUCAUGGUUAAGUGGGAAACGAUGUGGGAAGGCCCAGACAGCCAGGAUGUUGGCUUAGAAGCAGCCAUCAUUUAAAGAAAGCGUAAUAGCUCACUGGUCGAGUCGGCCUGCGCGGAAGAUGUAACGGGGCUAAACCAUGCACCGAAGCUGCGGCAGCGACACUAUGUGUUGUUGGGUAGGGGAGCGUUCUGUAAGCCUGUGAAGGUGGCCUGUGAGGGUUGCUGGAGGUAUCAGAAGUGCGAAUGCUGACAUAAGUAACGAUAAAGCGGGUGAAAAGCCCGCUCGCCGGAAGACCAAGGGUUCCUGUCCAACGUUAAUCGGGGCAGGGUGAGUCGACCCCUAAGGCGAGGCCGAAAGGCGUAGUCGAUGGGAAACAGGUUAAUAUUCCUGUACUUGGUGUUACUGCGAAGGGGGGACGGAGAAGGCUAUGUUGGCCGGGCGACGGUUGUCCCGGUUUAAGCGUGUAGGCUGGUUUUCCAGGCAAAUCCGGAAAAUCAAGGCUGAGGCGUGAUGACGAGGCACUACGGUGCUGAAGCGACAAAUGCCCUGCUUCCAGGAAAAGCCUCUAAGCAUCAGGUAACAUCAAAUCGUACCCCAAACCGACACAGGUGGUCAGGUAGAGAAUACCAAGGCGCUUGAGAGAACUCGGGUGAAGGAACUAGGCAAAAUGGUGCCGUAACUUCGGGAGAAGGCACGCUGAUAUGUAGGUGAAGCGACUUGCUCGUGGAGCUGAAAUCAGUCGAAGAUACCAGCUGGCUGCAACUGUUUAUUAAAAACACAGCACUGUGCAAACACGAAAGUGGACGUAUACGGUGUGACGCCUGCCCGGUGCCGGAAGGUUAAUUGAUGGGGUUAGCGGUAACGCGAAGCUCUUGAUCGAAGCCCCGGUAAACGGCGGCCGUAACUAUAACGGUCCUAAGGUAGCGAAAUUCCUUGUCGGGUAAGUUCCGACCUGCACGAAUGGCGUAAUGAUGGCCAGGCUGUCUCCACCCGAGACUCAGUGAAAUUGAACUCGCUGUGAAGAUGCAGUGUACCCGCGGCAAGACGGAAAGACCCCGUGAACCUUUACUAUAGCUUGACACUGAACAUUGAGCCUUGAUGUGUAGGAUAGGUGGGAGGCUUUGAAGUGUGGACGCCAGUCUGCAUGGAGCCGACCUUGAAAUACCACCCUUUAAUGUUUGAUGUUCUAACGUGGGCCCCUUACCGGGGUUGCGGACAGUGUCUGGUGGGUAGUUUGACUGGGGCGGUCUCCUCCUAAAGAGUAACGGAGGAGCACGAAGGUUGGCUAAUCCUGGUCGGACAUCAGGAGGUUAGUGCAAUGGCAUAAGCCAGCUUGACUGCGAGCGUGACGGCGCGAGCAGGUGCGAAAGCAGGUCAUAGUGAUCCGGUGGUUCUGAAUGGAAGGGCCAUCGCUCAACGGAUAAAAGGUACUCCGGGGAUAACAGGCUGAUACCGCCCAAGAGUUCAUAUCGACGGCGGUGUUUGGCACCUCGAUGUCGGCUCAUCACAUCCUGGGGCUGAAGUAGGUCCCAAGGGUAUGGCUGUUCGCCAUUUAAAGUGGUACGCGAGCUGGGUUUAGAACGUCGUGAGACAGUUCGGUCCCUAUCUGCCGUGGGCGCUGGAGAACUGAGGGGGGCUGCUCCUAGUACGAGAGGACCGGAGUGGACGCAUCACUGGUGUUCGGGUUGUCAUGCCAAUGGCACUGCCCGGUAGCUAAAUGCGGAAGAGAUAAGUGCUGAAAGCAUCUAAGCACGAAACUUGCCCCGAGAUGAGUUCUCCCUGACUCCUUGAGAGUCCUGAAGGAACGUUGAAGACGACGACGUUGAUAGGCCGGGUGU